rnacentral:rRNA from 1 species
AACGAACGCUGGCGGCGUGCUUAACACAUGCAAGUCGAACGAGAAAGCCUUCGGGCGAGUAGAGUGGCGCACGGGUGAGUAAUGCAUAGGAACGUACCCUCUGGGUGGGGAAUAACUCGAGGAAACUCGGGCUAAUACCGCAUAUGCUGGAAACAGUAAAGGCUUCGGCCGCCUGAGGAUCGGCCUAUGUCCCAUUAGCUUGUUGGUGGGGUAAUGGCCCACCAAGGCUACGAUGGGUAGCUGGUCUGAGAGGAUGAUCAGCCACACUGGGACUGAGACACGGCCCAG